ACAUAAUUAUUAAAUUAAGCAUAGAAUAUAAUAAAUAACUCCAAAGUGAAAAUAAGGGUAAUUGAAUUAUUGCAUCAUAAAAAGUUCCAUUGUAUUCCUAAUAGGAGAAUUAGUUCAUCAUAAUAAUAGAAACCGACAGAAUAAAAAUAAAUAACAUUCCAAGUACAGAUAAUGAAUUAAGGAAAAGAAGAAAAACUCUAUCUAGAAUCUCCGGUCUCUAUAGCUUCAAUCUCCGUAUCUUCGUGUUCUCCAAGUUUCGUGCGGGAAACUAACCUUCAAAUUUGUCCCUGCUUUUGUUACCCAUUGAGUGCCCGGCUUACACAUUUGCUUUAUCAAUCUGUCCAAAUUGGGAAAGAAGUCCUCAUAUCGAUUGUCAAGAGUGGGUGUUUCCAAUCCAAAAUACUCAUUAAUGAAGUCUCUAUCGAACACCACUAGUUUACCUCUAACCAUCACCACAUGCCCAACCCUCUCGAUCGUAUUAGCAUAAAACUCCUUAAUAACAGAGAUUACGAGGCAUAAGGCUGCCCGACUAGCUUAAACCAAUUACGUUUGAUAAUCUUCUCUAUCAUAGCCCCAUCUAAGUUGGAAUUCGGCCUUAAUCCCCGUUCCAAUACCAAUAUUUUCUUAGCUAAGACUGUGUUGAACCACUCUUCUGCCUCCGCACUACCAAACCUUGACCCAUCAAAUUGUUAACUUACACUAGAGCUAUCACCCCUCUGCCUUUUGGAUGACAUGAUGUAACAGAACAAAUGUAUUUGCUCAUAAAGGGACUGUACUCAGUGAUUCAGACCAAUUAUCGAACACUUGGCAGACGACUACCAAUCUCCCGCAAAUAUACCCCUUUGUAUCAAUUCAAAACCAUAAAUACAGACAACAUUAAUCAAAGACUUUGGCCAACACAAACCCAACGCAAUCACAACACAAUAUAAUACUACGCUAACAAAAUUGAACACUGAACUAAGUUAUGGAAUCUGAAAUGCACAAUGUUUGGAUUUUAUUACCUUAGUUGAAGAGUUUAAACCCCAAUAUUGAUGAACUUUAACCUUGAUGCUUAUUUCCUAAGCCCUUGAUGUAAGAGAUGACUGGAUAUGGGAUUAAGGGUUUUUAAUUUGGAUGCAGAAUAAAGGUUCAGAUUUGGGAAUGAGAGAUUUGGGGGAAAUAAUGGUUUGUUUGGAUUAGAGUUGGAUUUGGAUUAGGCUUUAGGGGUAGAGAUUAGGAAGUGUUUGGAGUAGAUUAGGAGUGUAUAGAGGGAUAAAGAUUAGGAUUUUAAGAGAGAUUAGAUGUUUUGUAUGUGUGAUAAGGCCCGAAACCCUUAUUUUAUUUCUGAGUUGGCCGCCCAGCACGCCCCACACUCGUUUGUGGUCUGGAAUGGCACGCCCCGCGCUGUUUAUACAGAAUUAUUGAUGGUGUAGCGGGCCACGCGCCAUGUUGCAAAGGCAGGUCGGUUGAAA
rnacentral:lncRNA from 1 species